GAAAUGCGAUAAUUAAUGUGAAUUGCAGAAUUCAGUGAAUCAUCGAAUCUUUGAACGCACAUUGCGCCCGCCAGCACUCUGGCGGGCAUGCCUGUUCGAGCGUCAUUUCAACCCUCAGAACCCCUUGCGGGAUCUGGCGUUGGGGAUUGGCAUCCAGCCAGCCCCGAAAUCUAGUGGCGGUCCCUCCGCGACCUCCCCUGUGCAGUAGCGAUACCUCGCAGCGGGACAGCGGUCUGACCACGCCGUAAAACCCCCAACUUCUCAAGGUUGACCUCGAAUCAGGUAGGAAUACCCGCUGAACUUAAGC
rnacentral:misc_RNA from 1 species